UACAGAGGGUGCAAGCGUUAAUCGGAAUUACUGGGCGUAAAGCGUGCGCAGACGGUUGCGUAAGUCAGAUGUGAAAGCCCCGGGCUCAACCUGGGAAUUGCAGUGGAUACUGGGGAGCUAGAGUGCGGUAGAGGGUAGUGGAAUUCCCGGUGUAGCGGUGAAAUGCGUAGAGAUCGGGAGGAACACCAGUGGCGAAGGCGGCUACCUGGACCAGCACUGACACUGAGGCACGAAAGCGUGGGGAGCAAACAGG
rnacentral:rRNA from 1 species